rnacentral:rRNA from 1 species
UAGGGAAUCUUCCGCAAUGGACGCAAGUCUGACGGAGCAACGCCGCGUGAGUGAAGAAGGAUUUCGGUUCGUAAAACUCUGUUGUUAGAGAAGAACAGCGCAUAGAGUAACUGUUAUGCGUGUGACGGUAUCUAACCAGAAAGCCACGGCUAACUACGUGCCAGCAGCCGCGGUAAUACGUAGGUGGCAAGCGUUGUCCGGAUUUAUUGGGCGUAAAGCGAGCGCAGGCGGUCAAUUAAGUCUGAUGUGAAAGCCCCCGGCUCAACCGGGGAGGGUCAUUGGAAACGGGUUGACUUGAGUGCAGAAGAGGAGAGGGGAAUUCCAUGUGUGACGGUGAAAUGCGUAGAUAUAUGGAGGAACACCAGUGGCGAAGGCGACUCUCUGGUCUGUAACUGAUGCUGAGGCUCGAAAGCGUGGGUAGCAAACAGG